CAGUAGCCGCGGUAAUACGUAGGGUGCAAGCGUUAAUCGGAAUUACUGGGCGUAAAGCGUGCGCAGGCGGUCCGCUAAGACAGAUGUGAAAUCCCCGGGCUUAACCUGAGGACUGCAUUUGUGACUGGCGGGCUAGAGUAUGGCAGAGGGGGGUAGAAUUCCGCGUGUAGCAGUGAAAUGCGUAGAUAUGCGGAGGAACACCGAUGGCGAAGGCAAUCCCCUGGGCCUGUACUGACGCUCAUGCACGAAAGCGUGGGGAGCAAACAGGAUUAGAUACCCCGGUAGUCCCUGUCUCUUAUAC
rnacentral:rRNA from 1 species